rnacentral:rRNA from 1 species
ACCCUUUAAUGUUUGAUGUUCUAACGUGGACCCGUGAUCCGGGUUGCGGACAGUGUCUGGUGGGUAGUUUGACUGGGGCGGUCUCCUCCUAAAGAGUAACGGAGGAGCACGAAGGUUGGCUAAUCCUGGUCGGACAUCAGGAGGUUAGUGCAAUGGCAUAAGCCAGCUUGACUGCGAGCGUGACGGCGCGAGCAGGUGCGAAAGCAGGUCAUAGUGAUCCGGUGGUUCUGAAUGGAAGGGCCAUCGCUCAACGGAUAAAAGGUACUCCGGGGAUAACAGGCUGAUACCGCCCAAGAGUUCAUAUCGACGGCGGUGUUUGGCACCUCGAUGUCGGCUCAUCACAUCCUGGGGCUGAAGUAGGUCCCAAGGGUAUGGCUGUUCGCCAUUUAAAGUGGUACGCGAGCUGGGUUUAGAACGUCGUGAGACAGUUCGGUCCCUAUCUGCCGUGGGCGCUGGAGAACUGAGGGGGGCUGCUCCUAGUACGAGAGGACCGGAGUGGACGCAUCACUGGUGUUCGGGUUGUCAUGCCAAUGGCACUGCCCGGUAGCUAAAUGCGGAAGAGAUAAGUGCUGAAAGCAUCUAAGCACGAAACUUGCCCCGAGAUGAGUUCUCCCUGAGACUUAAAGUC